CUGGGUCUAGGAAUCAGAAGCACUUUGGCGUUGCUGAUUAAAUCAGAUUAAAAUCAGUUUCUGGCAACAUGAGAGAUCUGGCCCCAGCUGGAAGAAUAAAUGGAAUUCUACGGGCAGCAAUGCACUGAAUGACGGAGUGCAAUAUAUCCCUUCCCUCUGUACAUUUGCAUGACGUUUGACCUCAGUUGAACAGCUCCGGGUAAACAAGUCAUCGCAAACGUCCCCCCUCAGAUCUAAACAGCUUGCGUCCCAUCAGUACGUGUGUUUUGCCAGGACAGAUGACAGGAAAUCAGUCUCGGCUCAUGUUUGUAAUAAGUCCAGCCGCACAUGUGGAUUUCAAGAGGCCCAUGACGGAAGAUCGAGCUCUAGUUUUUUUGGGUCAGAGGAGUACCAAAGGAUUUUAUUAACAUGCUACCCCAUAAUAACAUAACUCACUGGCUAUUACAUUACAUUUAAAGCUUCAUGUUUGUCAAUACUGUCUCAUUACAACCAUAAAACUAAUAAAAAAAUAAAUGUAAAAAAAAGUAGACGGACUGUUUCUGUAUUUGUGUUUUGAAAUGUCUUUAUUAUUUUAAUAAUUGAUUAUUAAUAUUAAUUGCUAAAAGCCACCAUACAGACAUAUAAUACAAUAUUUUUCUUGAACAUUUUUGCUAAUUUGUAUAUUAUUAUUAUUAUUAUUAUUAUUAUUAAUCUGUAUGUUAAUAACGCUAGUAAAGCCAUGCUUUUGACAUAGCCUAUAUUUAUGAUGUAAUUUCUAUCAAAUAAACAUUUUACGCAGAAACACAAGCAAAUGCCAGGCACAUUCCCACAUGUAAAUUAAGAUCUGAAUUUUAUGUGGGCAGUUGCCCUUACUGAUUUUAGGCUCUGUAUAAUGCCUUGCAUAUGGAGCAGGCACAAGGUGGCAGUGUUGUUUGAUUUAGUCCUCACUGAAUGACAGUGUUGGAUGAUUGAACACGUGUGCAUGAGAGAGAGAGAGAGAGAGUGAGAGAGAGAGAGAGAGAGAGAGAGAGAUGUUGUUGAUCCUGAUUCCGUAACAAAUAUUAAGAUAUGUCUAGAGUGUUUAAUCAGUUGUUUACUACGUAACAUAAGCCGUUUAUGCAUUAUGUGAGUAGGUGAGCAUGUGUAAAUGAAUGUCUACGACACCCGUUUGUCAUCAGACGCACACAACCAGAAUACAUCAGUUUGGAUACAAGUUAACGAGGCUAUAGUUACAUUAUAACCAUGUCUCUCAAAAUAUAACUCACUCAUGAAUAUCUCACUCAUACAUAAUUCACAUUUCCCAGUAUAAUUAAUCACAUAAAAUACAAUCUAGUAAGAAAAUAAGGCAAGAAUAGCUACUCACAGCCCGAUAAAUGUCACAUAAUAUGGGUUGAAUAUAGAUUUUUUUUGUAAAAGGCCUGACAUUCGCGAGUGUUUUCUAUCGUAGUUGCACAUUAUUAUAAAGCUAUACUAUUAGGUCCUUUAUAUAAAAAAUGCAAAUAUUAGGCUACAGCAAGCUCCGUAUCAAAUAACCACAAUCAAACACAUAUAAAGCGUGUAUUUAACUAUUUGAAAGUAAACUCAUUAACCCCAAACAACACCCGCUUGGACAGCUUAGGCUACUUGAACUAUAUUCAUUUUCAUCGAGACAAUUAAUAAUCAACAAUAGUACCAUAAAGCAACAACACAAGUCACUUGUCAACGAGGCUGUGCGUUCACAAUCCAUAACGAAUUAAGGGAAACGACACAAUGAAUGUACAUUUACAUAUGUUGCAUGCCCCUCUUGAACAUCCCGUUUGAAUCGAAUACAGUACUGUCAAAUCUCCAUAUUGUGUAGCAACACGUCUGUAAGAAGCCAAUAAGCAGCGUAGAAUCAUUUACUUACCAGCGUUCGCUGUUGUCUGUGUGACGCACGUUCGAUGGU